AGCUAACGCAUUAGCGCCCCGCCUGGGGGAGUACGGCCGCAAGGCUAAAACUCAAAGGAAUUGACGGGGCCCGCACAAGCGGCGGAGCAUGCGGAUUAAUUCGAUGCAACGCGAAGAACCUUACCAAGGCUUGACAUAUACGAGAACGGGCCAGAAAUGGUCAACUCUUUGGACACUCGUAUACAGCUGGUGCAUGGUUGUCGUCAGCUCGUGUCGUGAGAUGUUGGGUUAAGUCCCGCAACGAGCGCAACCCUCGUUCUAUGUUGCCAGCACGUAAUGGUGGGAACUCAUAGGAGACUGCCGGGGUCAACUCGGAGGAAGGUGGGGAUGACGUCAAAUCAUCAUGCCCCUUAUGUCUUGGGCUUCACGCAUGCUACAAUGGCCGGUACAAUGGGCUGCAAUACCGUGAGGUGGAGCGAAUCCCAAAAAGCCGGUCUCAGUUCGGAUUGAGGUCUGCAACUCGACCUCAUGAAGUCGGAGUCGCUAGUAAUCGCAGAUCAGCAACGCUGCGGUGAAUACGUUCCCGGGCCUUGUACACCCGC
rnacentral:rRNA from 1 species